rnacentral:rRNA from 1 species
UACGGAGGGUGCAAGCGUUAUCCGGAUUUACUGGGUUUAAAGGGUGCGUAGGUGGAUAAUUAAGUCAGUGGUGAAAUCUUCAGGCUUAACCUGGAAACUGCCAUUGAUACUAUUUGUCUUGAAUACUUUGGAGGUAAGCGGAAUAUGUCAUGUAGCGGUGAAAUGCUUAGAUAUGACAUAGAACACCAAUUGCGAAGGCAGCUUACUACACAGUAAUUGACACUGAGGCACGAAAGCGUGGGGAUCAAACAGG